AUGGAAGCUGAUAAGUGGGCAAGUUUUUCAGAAGAAACUAGUGAUUCUGAAGGCUACGGGGAGGAUCCUGACGAUGAUGACCAUUGUUGUGCAUAUGCAUCCACUGAUAUACCCAAGUUGCAGUUCAGGAAAGAUAUCUCAAGAUCACGAUGGCUUGAUCCAUUAGGAAUGGCUGAGGUCGUGGAGAGGAAGGGUGGAUUGUGGACAACUACUGGGAUAGUUCGUAAUGGCAAGAUAUAUUGCUUCAUCGAAGAGAUUUUAUAUCUUGCCGAAAUUGGGGCUCUACAUCUCCUCAGUAAAGAUGACACACCCCUUUCUCUGGAACAUGUAUACAACAAGGUUGCAGAAGGAAAAAGUGGAUGUUCCUUGGAAUAUUAUGAAGCAUAUAAGCACUUGAAAUCUCUUGGUUAUAUAGUUAGGCGUCAUGGUAUUCCUUGGUCAGUAAGAAGGUCAAAAGUAAAUUGUGUUGUUAACCAAGACACGCCUGAGCCUGCACAAAGUGGAGAUGAAGAAUCAAGAAACAGUUUUCUCAUCUCUGAAAUGAUUAAUAAUAUGCAGAUUGGUGGAUUGAGACUGGCCUUUGACGUUUACCCUCCUAAUAGCAGAUUCAGAAAGUCUGCUCCUGGUGAUCCCUGUUUUGUACUUUGUCUUGCUAGUGAGUAUCCACCUUCCAAAGAAGAAAUUGAAGAUCUUGAGAGACAUUCUCAUGGUGUUCCGUUGAAAUUCUGUCUUGUUGAGCAUGGACGUUUGAACUUUUUUUCAUUCAACAAAGUUGAGCUCCCUAUCCUUCCAUGAUCCUUUAGAGCAACAGUUACAAAUCUUGGCAUGCCCUGUGAAGAGCUAUGCAGAUUCGUCUUUUUUGCCUUCAGUGCUAACGUACGUGCUGGGGAAAUUUGCUUAAAACUGAUCCAUCUGUUAAGAUGAGGGGCGGAUCUAGAAGGUUGUUAGGGUGUUUUACGAGAACGUGUUUUAUUCUUGUUAAGUUCAAACUUCAUGCAUUGUUUUUUUUUUCGAAACACCCUUAGUGAAAAUCUUGAAUCAGCUAUAAUAGUCGAGUCUUGGUUGGACACCUUCACUUGCAACAUGUUAGAGAAGAUUUUCAAGUUGAUCGUUGCAUCGAUCAAUGUGGUUAUAUGGAUAUGUGAUGACAGCGAACAAUUUAUUUUAUA